rnacentral:rRNA from 1 species
CCUACGGGAGGCAGCAGUGAGGAAUAUUGGUCAAUGGACGAGAGUCUGAACCAGCCAAGUAGCGUGAAGGAUGACUGCCCUAUGGGUUGUAAACUUCUUUUAUAUGGGAAUAAAAUGUUCCACGUGUGGGCUUUUGUAUAUACCAUAUGAAUAAGGUUCGGCUAACUCCGUGCCAGCAGCCGCGGUAAUACGGAGGAUCCGAGCGUUAUCCGGAUUUAUUGGGUUUAAAGGGAGCGUAGGUGGAUUGUUAAGUCAGUUGUGAAAGUUUGCGGCUCAACCGUAAAAUUGCAGUUGAAACUGGCAGUCUUGAGUACAGUAGAGGUGGGCGGAAUGCGUGGUGUAGCGGUGAAAUGCUUAGAUAUCACGAAGAACUCCGAUUGCGAAGGCAGCUCACUGGACUGCAACUGACACUGAGGCUCGAAAGUGUGGGUAUCAAACAGGAUUAGAUACCCUAGUAGUC